rnacentral:rRNA from 1 species
CGGGAAACCGGGGCUAAUACCGGAUAACAUUUUGAACUGCAUGGUUCGAAAUUGAAAGGCGGCUUCGGCUGUCACUUAUGGAUGGACCCGCGUCGCAUUAGCUAGUUGGUGAGGUAACGGCUCACCAAGGCAACGAUGCGUAGCCGACCUGAGAGGGUGAUCGGCCACACUGGGACUGAGACACGGCCCAGACUCCUACGGGAGGCAGCAGUAGGGAAUCUUCCGCAAUGGACGAAAGUCUGACGGAGCAACGCCGCGUGAGUGAUGAAGGCUUUCGGGUCGUAAAACUCUGUUGUUAGGGAAGAACAAUUUCUUUUUUGAAUAAGCUGGCACCUUGACGGUACCUAACCAGAAAGCCACGGCUAACUAC